GGAAUUUUGUGCACUCCACAUUGCUUUCCAGUACUAGUGCCAUAGACAUUCAGCACUCACUACAGCAACUCUCUGGGAGCUCGGAGAUACUUUUCUGAAGCUUAAUCUUGAUCACAGCCUUUCACUCACAUCACUGACUUUUGAAAUUAAAAAUCCCAGCCAUUUCUAUAAUUUUUUGGAUUCUUACGGUAGGUUUGGGAUGGGAGAUGGAAUAAGAACUCCAGAAAACUAUUUACUUGGCUUUUUCUCAAAACUUACUAUGAUUUUCUAUCAGCCAGGAGAGCAAUCUCUUCUUCUUUUGCUUAGCUUUGGAAAUAAGACCAGCAAAAAAUACAUUGGAUGGUUCAGGGAUAGUUGGUGGGUAUAUGGUGGAGUGGUGUGUGUGUGUGUGUGUGUGUGUGUGUGUGUGUGUGUGUGCGCGCGCGCGCGCGCGCAUGUGUAUAUACUGAGGUUGGGCUGAAGGCAUUUUUCCUCAGGGAAUGACCACUGAAAACCACCUCUCCUGCAAGGUUAACUUCUUAUAGGAGAAUUAAAAACUAAGAAAUCAGGUACUUGCUUUAACUAUUAUAAUGAGAAAUGGGAAAUGAUUCUGACCAAUAAUAUCAAAAAUCACAAUAUUAGUCCAAUUUCUUAAAGUUUACUUCUCAACUUAGAUUCUGUUAGCUAUUCAACAAACACUUCUGCAGUGCAAAAACAGUUCAAAAAAUAUUUAACUGAGGCACGCUAUAUUGAUGUUCUACUGUUUUUCGCCUUGCCUAAUGGUUGCUUCCAACUAGACCUGAAAAUUUGGGGUGAUAUACAGGGCAAGAACUAUAAUUCCUGUAUCCCCUCAGGCUCUGCUUACCCACCCACAAGUUGCCUAGAAAACUCCACAUUUUUUGCCAACUCUUCAAGUCACUUUUCUCUCAAGCUUGUAUUAGAGAAUAGGUUACCUGUUCCCCUGAAAUCCUAUUCAUCUCCCACCUGAUUAUUGGCAACUUAAUUUAUUUUAGUGCCCCAGUGGAGCCUGGCCAGUAGUAGGCAGUCAAUGAAUAUGGACAGAAGAAAGGAAGGGUGGAUGGGAAGGAAAGGAGGAAUGGCAGGAGGGAGGGAAGGGAAAACCUGUGGCCCCAAGUCAUUGUGAAAUUCACACUGAAGAAUGAAAUUCACACUAAAGGAUGCAGCAAAACCCAUAAGAAUCACUUGUGAAGGAAACGAAAAUGAUGAGAGAGUUGGAAAAAUUAGAUCUUAACCCCGAGAUUCAACAGAGAGAAGCUAGUGCUGUGUCUCUGAGUGGGAUUCAAGUGCAGUGUUAAGAGGAAUGGCCCAAAGGGCAGUUUAACUGAAUGGAACUUUGGCAAAGGCAAGGUGCCACAGCAACCCCCAAAUCUUGGGAGAGGGUCUUUGGGGGCUUUGGACUUUGAUCACACUGAAACUCCAAGUGAACGUGACUUUUCUACAGUCACUACUCAUUUUUCCUGUUCAUCUCCCACUUGAUUAUGGGCAACUUAAUUUAUCUUAGUGCCGCAGUGGACACUGAGCCUGUGAACUUGUUGUUUCUGAAAAAGGAGUCAGUUGCUAUUGGAAUAUUAUUUAAGGAGACACAUGUCAAUGCCAUUCUACAAAAAUGGUACUAGUUUACGCCAUGACUUAAAAGGGUGAUGGGUUACACAUUAGAAUUUGGUAGCACGAUCAGGUGAUUUAUACUUUGUAAGACAUGGUCACAGUAGGGAGUGUCUGAAGGGGUAGAUCCUUCACCAAUAUCACCUGUGUGGUAGGGUAGACUAUGGACCAUUGAGUCCAGCCACAGAUCCUUGCAGCUGAGGUUUAUGUAGGUGGGCACAGUUUUCCUGGAAGGCUCAGCAAACUCUUAUCAUGAGGUUGUAUCUAGGUCAGGGAAAUUCAAGGAAAUUCAGGGAAUAGCAGCCAGCAUGGAUCCAGGCACAAUGUUGUGGCCUGGGCACCACUCCUCCAUCUGUCUCCAGGCAGGCAGCUUAACACUAUGCCCUACCAGAUGGGGGAUGGGGUCAGAAGGGACAGGAGGGUGAACAGAAGCAACUCAACCACUUCCUUCUUUCAGGCCUGGCUUAGUUUGGAACUAGACUAGGGUUUGGAGAGCCUGAGUGUGGAAGGGGAAAUGGAGAGCUGGCGUAGGAAUGUGGAUGCACUGAGAGGUUAUUCACACCAGUGUUCUGGAAAGCAGGAAACUUCUCUGGUGAAAGUCAAACUGUAUGAAAACAGUGAUGUAGAGAGAGAUGCUUGAUGUAUUUGUAGAGGUUGAUAAUAAAGUUGAGCAGUAGCAAAAGGAAGAAGACUUUUCAGAGUUUACCCAAUCAAACUUGGACAAGUGGCAAACCGUCUGUCCAAUCUGAUCCCAGGGUUUGCUGCCUUGCUGUUUGCCUCUCCCUACUUAGAACGCCUCCUAGGAGAUGGUGGAAGCUGGUGCACUAUCUUCAAUCCACAAUUGUUUGCCUCUUUACCUUGGGUCCCCCCAACCCACCCCAUCCAGGCAGCCCAUUUCUACUUGUACCCUGUGCAUCUUGCAAUCUGGCCUGAUACUUGGCUCCAGAGCUUUGCCCGAUGAGAAUUAGGCCUUUGAAUCCUUGGUUCCCUCCCAUCCUGACCACUGUUUAAUCUAUCUCUCUAUUCCUGCCUCUCCUAGACACUUGACCCUGGAACUCAGCUUGGCCAAACCUGCCUCCGAUCCAAAUUGUGUUCUCGGUUAUAACUUCAUCAAUGGCGUUUCUCCAAGGCCAAAGUCAAACCUCUGCCAGAGGAAGAUGUAAAUAUUCAGAGCAAAAUAUUGCAUACCUGGCCCACAUGAGUCACUUAUGAGGAAGAGGGAGUUAGUUCUAAGAAUAAUAAUUAUCUUUUGGGUGAGAUUUAAAUUCAGGUCCAGAGCAUCUCUUAGAAAACCAUGGAUACAAGCAGCUUGUUAACAGCAGUAUCAGGUUCUUGGAGUCUGUAUAAAAUCUGGCCCAUCGAUUCAAACAAAACUGGUAUGAAAUAGCAUUUCUCUUCAUGUCUGAGGUUCCAGUGGUGGUUGGCUUCCUUCUUAUUUCUUGCCGUGUGUGGCUGUUUUCUUGCCAGCCUCAGAUUAUGCACUUACGUGUUUUCCAAAAAAUCAAAACCAUUUCCAAUACUCUUGUUAUGUGUUAUUUUAUUCUUAUCCUUUAAUUGAUCCAACAGCUUUCCUUUCAGACUAAAUUGGCUUAAUUGUACCCCAGAGAUGCCCACAAAAUGCUGAAUUGAAUGAGCAAGGCCCUCGGUCUCUGAUAGAGGCAUCGUACUCUAUAGCCCUAGUGAGACGUUGCUGUCCACUGGCAGUCUUUUGUCUUUUGGGUUAUUCAAAUACUCUGACUAAAUAUAUGUGUGUAUAUGUGUAUUUCAGACCAAAGCUUCAAAGGUGGCAAAACACUAUGGCAAAAACAGGUAAGUUUAUAAUUUCAGUUUUACAAUUAACAUUAGUAGCCUGAUUUAUACAUGUUUUGCUAUACCUAUUCUCCAGUAAAUAUUAUUCAAGAAAUUCAUGGAUUUUUUUUUUGGAGGGAAAGGAAAUUUGUGUGUUUUAAAUAUGCAGAGUCUGGAGAAGUUGGGCAGAUGACCUAAUAGAGUCAGGCCCUGCCUCCAUGGAUGUCCUAUAAUGCCAAGCUCUGCUGGGCUGAUGCCUGUCUCAGGCUGGUAGCUCAGGGAGUGUGAGGAACAGUUAGCAUGGCUAUGCUGAAGUUACAUUUAGGGUGUGUUUAGCCCUUAACAGAGACACUUGAAGAAGAGCUUCCUCUAGAGAUUAAUUUCCGGCUGGUGUCAAUAAUGCUUUGGGCUCCCAAACACCUCUGCAUGCACUUUUAUUUCCAGGAAAUGCUGUUGCUUUAAUCGUGAUUGCUCAAAUAAGCAGCCUUUGCCCACUAAAAUAGAAUUUAUAUUUGAGAAACUGUAUUUGAUGGGGGCUUCUUCCUCAGAUAGCAAUCAGACUUUCUUAUUUGGAGAGGAAUAAGACAGCUAGCAUAGUUCCCUCGGAGUGGUAAAGAGGACAACUUAUGAUGGCUAGUGGAGUUCUUCCUGACCUCCUGAAUGUAGACAAAACCCCAAUUCAGAGGAUGGAUUUUCUUGAGAGAUCCUAGUAGCUUCAUGAUAUGAUGGCAAUGUGGACAGGGUUUGUCUUUUGUUAUUAAAAUUGACAUUUCUACAUGUGAAGAUGCAUAUUUAGGAGUUAUAUUACCUAAACAUAAAAAAAAACCCAAAACAAAGCCCCAAACCUAAAAAUAUAGAUAUAAUGCUUUUUCUUCCCACAAACACAGAGUUUCAUCUCUGAAUGAUGUGCUUGGUCAAGCUAGCUGUAAUUUUACACAGUUGUGGGACACUUGAGAAACAGCAGAAGAAAAGCCAUGGGCACAAACACAAGCCUAAGUUUCUUUGUCCUUUCUUUGGGGUCUAUAUAUUUAGUAGAUGUGUGCCUCCCCUUCCCUGAUGAUUGUUUAUGGUUAGAAUCUGUUCUGAUUGGUCGGUGCCUGUACCAUAUACCAGUUGUUGAAUAUUUUGAACAUCAGCUCCACCUAGCUUAGAAUAAUUGGGAAACGAAUAGCAUCUUAAAGGAUGUGAAUGAGACAGAGAAAACACUCCCAGAUGGGGUCAGUCCCAGUCAAUAAAAAGGGGGAUAGGAUGGUGAGGGGCAAUUGACUAGACCUCUCCAAGUAGGCACUAGUGAAUUUGAGCCUUUUAAAGCCUUUCCUAAAAGGUCCAAGUGCGAAGAACACAUUGACAUGUGAAACCUGGGAAUGGGAGUGGGCUGAAAAGUGAGACCAGGCCAGGGUUCAGGGACAGAUGGGAACUGUGAGUUCUGAGGCCAGGCAGGUGCCCAAGUGAGGACAAUGAGCAGAGCCAUAGUGCAAAUGGCUUGAGGCAACCUGUUGCCACUCAUAUGGCUGGUGGAGCUAGUUGAUCUCUCUGAAGGCACUGAGUGACGCUAGGUAGAGCUUGUGUAUCCUGCCCUCUCAACUGUUUCUUCUCCUCCUUUCCUGGUAUUGAGCACUAAUACCAGAGGGCUGGCCCAGACUGAAAAGUGUCCUGUGGUGUACCUUGGCUGAGGCUCAGCUCCUCUACUUGCCCUCCUACUCACCAUAUCCUUGUCAUGGUCCCCAUUUCUUGCGAGAGUGUGUAGAAUGAAUCCCAGUUGAUAAUUCAUGUGUAUGCCUAUUUUGUCAGUGCUGGGAACCGUGAAAAAGAAAUGGUCAAACUUAAACUUGCCUUAUGCUGUGGUUAUGACAUAUAACCAUCCCUUCAACUUUCAAUAGGUUUGAUGUGUAUAAGAAUUCAAGCAUAUGACUGCUUUGGUUUUUCCUAUCAAAUUCACUAUGUUACAGACAAUUUAAUGUCACAGGAUUCCUCCAGAGCUUUGCUCCCAUCUCUGUGCUGGGCUGCACUGUGAAUAAAUCUUUUCUCUACUAAAAAUUCCUGGAAAUGACAAGUAUUUGGCUUUAGGGUGCUUUAUGUGGCUUUUUCCUUGAGCAGAUCAACGAUCUACUUCCUUCUGAGGCAUGAUAUUGAGUUAGAUUUUAUUCCUUAAUGUCACACCAACACAAGGGGCAGGUGAGCCAGGCACAAACUGAACUGGGAGAAGAUGAACAUUUUCCUCUCAAUAAAUCACAUGGGGGUAACUGAGAGUGGAUGUCAUUUAUAAAGUUCAACACUGUCUCCCAUCUUUUGGUAUGCUUUAGGUUGAAUGCUUCAGAUGAUGUUUUUUGGAGUUAAAAGAAACAUUUUAUGUUUAAUGAACGAAUGUAUGUUGCUGGUUAUGGAUUUUCAAUUUCUAGUAUUUAUGUAGCCAGUUUUCAUAAUGUAAUGUUUUAGUGUCUUAUGGAAGUAAAGUCUUGAAGACCCAUCCAAGUGGUGUAAAAGCCCCUUGAAAAUUGGUUGGUGCUUCUUUGGGGAAUGGACACCCAAUGUCCUGCAGAGGGAUCAAGGUACACAGGGUUGGGAUUAGACACAUCACUCUGGGUGGAGGGCCAGAGCUAAGGACCCCUUGGCAUUAGCCAAAGAGAAAUCCAGUAGAGAUGGGGAGAUCACCACUGAAGCAGACAUCUCCGUCACUUCAUCUUCUGAUGUUUCUGUCCUAGUUGGGGUAAAUCCUCAUUCAUAAAGAGGAAGAAUCUGUGUAACAGCCUAUGGAAAGAUAUUUUUCUGUCUUCACUGCAACUUCAGCUAAAGCCUUAAAGCUGAUGGUGAAACCAAGGUCUAAUCUUUUUAGUUACUUGCUUCUUGUUGAUUUUUUAACCUACAUUGCUGAAAAGCAGGCUGCUAUAUGCUGUAACUUAGCCUUCACAAGCUUCCUUAUAGAUAAUACCUCUGAUGUAUUGAUUAAUGUAUUAAUACCUCUGAUGUAUUGAUGCAUUGAUUGCUUAAGUUGUUUCUCAGGAACUUAGGGUCAGCUCUUGUCCGGCUUGAACCAGUUGAGACCACUUGGCCUGUGCAAAUGCCCAAGUGGUGGCCUUUUGAUGUCAUAGAGCCAAAAACUCCUCCCUCAGAUCAUGCUAACACCACCAUUUUCUGAAUAUGUGUCUUAUGAAGAGCCAUGAACCCUGACUGUUUGGCAGAUCACAGACCACCUCAUUUUUCCCACUGUUGUUCACCUUUCCCUAUGUCUUAGGCCAAUCCACUUCUUUACCCCAUAUAUAUCCUUCAACCCUAUCUUUGGAGAGGUGGAUUUGAGAGCUAUUCUCUCAUCUCCAUACUGGAUUGCCCUGUGAAUCAAUAUAUUCUAUACUGCAAAACUUGUUGUCUCAGUGAUUGGCUUUCUAGAUGAUGAGCAGAAUGAACCUGCCUCACUAUCAAGGGCAAUGGGUGAAAAAUAACUCGGCAUUCAGGACUUUCCAGGAGGAACCAGACUUAUCCUUGUAAUAUCUGCACCCAUCAUCCAAGUCCACUUGGAGGAGACAAGAGAAGAGGAAAGGUUGUUAUUUCUUUUUGCUCUCCUUCAUUAGCCAAAUGAAGAGGAUGCAAUAAAACCAUGAUAACUUCUCAUAGACUUUGGGGUUAUACCACGAUAACUUCUCAUGGGCUUUGGGUUGUCUGCUUGAAGGGGAAAACAUGUCACAUGACAUUCCCUAGCUGAAUGUCUUUUGGGGUUCAGAAACUCAUUAGCUUGCCUUGGGCUGCUGUAAGAGCCAAGUUCACUAGAAAGCUUCACAGGUGUCCCCUGAAGAAGUCUAAAUGUGGGAGGUUGGCUGGGGCAGUGCACAGUAGUAGGGCAAGAAGAACUGGGGUAGUGGCUGGGUAAGCUUCCCUUGCAUUGUUUUGAGGGGCAAGAAUGUAUGCCCCGCAAGGCAUCAGACAAAUAUGUAAAAGGUUCCAGGAUCAAGUUGUCUUGAAAGACUGUUGGUUGGCGUAGGGGGGUCCCCAGAGUUACACUGAUG
rnacentral:lncRNA from 1 species